rnacentral:tRNA from 1 species
GCCCGCCUGGCGGAACUGGCAGACGCGCCGGCCUCAAAAGUCGGUGCCGCAUGGCGUGCAGGUUCGAGUCCUGCGGCGGGCACCA